GUGAGUAAUGCCUAGGAAUCUGCCUAGUAGUGGGGGAUAACGUCCGGAAACGGGCGCUAAUACCGCCGUCCUACGGGAGAAAGUGGGGGAUCUUCGGACCUCACGCUAUUAGAUGAGCCUAGGUCGGAUUAGCUAGUUGGUGAGGUAAUGGCUCACCAAGGCGACGAUGUAACUGGUCUGAGAGGAUGCAUCACACUGGAACUGAGACACGGUCCAGACUCCUACGGGAGGCAGCAGUGGGGAAUAUUGGACAAUGGGCGAAAGCCUGAUCCAGCCAUGCCGCGUGUGUGAAGAAGGUCUUCGGAUUGUAAAGCACUUUAAGGGAGGAAGGGCAGUUACCUAAUACGUGAUUGUUUUGACGUUACCGACAGAAUAAGCCGGCUAACUCUGUGCCAGCAGCCGCGGUACAGAGGGUGCAAGCGUUAAUCGGAAUUACUGGGCGUAAAGCGCGCGUAGGUGGUUUGUUAAGUUGGAUGUGAAAGCCCCGGGCUCAACCUGGGAACUGCAUCCAAAACUGGCAAGCUAGAGUAUGGUAGAGGGUGGUGGAAUUUCCUGUGUAGCGGUGAAAUGCGUAGAUAUGGAACACCAGUGGCGAAGGCGACCACCUGGACUGAUACUGACACUGAGGUGCGAAAGCGGGGAGCAAACAGGAUUAGAUACCCUGGUAGUCCACGUAAACGAUGUCAACUAGCCGUUGGGAGCCUUGAGCUCUUAGUGGCGCAGCUAACGCAUUAAGUUGACCGCCUGGGGAGUACGGCCGCAAGGUUAAAACUCAAUGAAUUGACGG
rnacentral:rRNA from 1 species